UAGCGCAGUCCGGUUAGCGCACCUGCUUUGGGAGCAGGGGGCCGCAGGUUCGAAUCCUGC
rnacentral:tRNA from 1 species